ACCUUCUCUGAACAAAUUUUGCAAAGAAAAACUCAUGCUAGGUUCGCUUGAGGGUCACCAUGUGUCAGAAAUUGCUUGAAGGUAUGCUGCAAGAACAACAACAACACAAUAAAAAUACGAAAUCUAAAAUCUUUGCAAAAUGAACAAUUAAAGGCAGAAAUUGCAUAAAAGCAAUAGGGCCUAAAACAGGCAUCACAAGACGAUCUAAAAAUAUAACAAAUUAAAAUUACUGUAUAUACACGUCUAUAAAUCUAAAAAUUUAUGCCCCAAAAUUGACCCCAAAAUCCCAGACCGACUUAUUUAUGGGUGAGUAUGGUAAUGUGAUAGCAGCUCUUUCAGAUUUUCCCAUGUUGUACAGAGAGGAGUCUGUUUCUCUCUGGAGCCAAGCAAAAAGAGUCCUGGGUGAUUUAUUGCUGUUAAGGAAACCAACAGAGUCCUUAUCCUGCUAACCAGCCCCAGCUGUCUGGGGAAUGAAGGAUGAAACAAAAGCUGAAACACUGAAAUAAAAAGCCUCAAUCAGAGUCUCUCUUGCUGCAUGCACAUAUACUCACACUGAAGGAGCUUUACUCUCAAUUUAUGCAUCAUGGCAAAAUCCAUAAUUUUGGCCCCAAAACCUGCCCUCAACUUAUACAUGAGGGUAUAGUCAAGUAUAAUCGAGUAUAUAUGGUACGUUAAAAAAAAAAAGGAAACACUGAAAUACAGUAUAUAAAGGAUUAAAAGGCCUGAGAGAGUAAGAAGGUCAUAAAAAUAUAAAAUAGGCACCAGGUGCCGUAACUGAAUGCUGUUAUUGAAAAGAUUCAUUUCAUGAGUCUGAGUCAUCAGGUCAUUAGGAUUUAUGAAGGGCAAAUUUGAUGAUAUGGGCCAAUCACCAAUAAAUAAUAAAUAUUAUCCUUGACAGUAUAGAACUGAUAUACACUGUCCUCAUGUAUCCAAUCAGGCUUUGAUGGACACACUUAGAGCCCGAAAAACCCACAAAAAACACUUAGAGUAGUUUGAUAUUCCCCAUUCUCUUGGACAGAUAGCAUUCAAACUGUGUAGGCAAGAAAUGGUCUCGCAUGAGCAGUGAUCUGACUACUGUUUGCACAUUGAAUUCCUAUUGACUUCUGUGAAAGAGAAACACCUCAUUGGCUCAUCAAACAUUAACUUGUAGAAACAGUUGAAAAACACAGGCUCAUUCAGACCUGGUAACUGAGUUGUUGGAUUACAAACGAAUGACAGCAGAGUGCUUUGAGAAGGGGACCUUUUCACAUUUUACUAUAGUCUCAGCCUUCCAUAUUACCACCCGUCCCAGCCGUAUUCAUCGGCCUAAUCCUGGCUUUCCUGUUUUGGUGUUACAGCCCAUUGUGGUAGAGAAAGAGACAAUGGCCUUGGAUGCCUGUGAUGGCAGCUUUGGUAGCUGUGACAGCCAUGGUGCUGUACCCAGGUUUAACCAGAGCGUCUCCAUGAGAACCGUUGUUGAAUCCAUACACCGUCCUCCUUUUAGAAGCUGGCAUCAUUCACAUACUGGGGGGAAAACGGAUUCAUCCUGUUCCUUUUUUCUUUUUCUUUUUUUUUAAAUAACCUCUUAGUACCACAGAGUUUGGCUUCAGAGCAGCAGUAGGGUCAUUGCUUUAAACUGUACAAAAUGUAUCUGCUUAUAAAGAGGGAAUAAAAUUAUUACUUCAUUCUGUCGUGAGCAAUACUGUUGCUUACAAUUUCAUGUAGUUCUUAAGAUAGUAUGUUUGAGUUCUAAAUACUAUUAUGGUGGCCUAAAGUAGGCUUCUGGUACCAAAUUAUUUAUGGUGGUUAGGUGUGUGGAUAAUUUAAUUAAAAAUCUGAUUGCCAGAUUGAAAGCAAUGCAUUUUUCUCUGAUUUGGACACCCAUGCCAAAUACCCUUUAAAUACAUGGAAGCAGGUGCAGUGUGCUCAGUGCCUUUCAGUUUGACUUUAUUUGUAUAUUAACAUACCAUUAUUAUUUUUUACUUGCUGUGAGUCACUGAGCUAUUGGGAACAAUUUUCUUUUUUUCCAAGUCUUCUGACGGAAACAAAUAUUUUUCUUCAGUGAAGGUCCUAUUUUGUUGAUGACUUGGGAAAUAGUACAAUUCAUUAUCAGCCUUAAAAAGCUCUAGAAGAAACUGAAUGGAAAGCCUCAGUCUAGACUUUUUGUGUGCAGGUGUGUGCAUGUGUGUGCCUGAGUGAACUAAGGUUUUUCUGGGAGCAAAAUCUUCAUUUUUCUGAUGGACAUAGUGCAGUGAUCCAACUUUUAGUUUGAAUGUAAUUUAUUAAAUCUCAUGUAUAUAGACACUAUAAAACCCAAUGUAUUUUCUCACAUAUCACAUUAUAGAAAUGGUUUUUCCAGUCACAUAUUAUCAAAACUGAGCUGGAGAAAUAAUAUUUGUCUCUUUAAUUGCGCUUUCAUUGGCAUAACUUCAUUAUGUGAAGUGCUUGAGUGAUUCUACUGUUAGGGAAAUGAAGAAGAAAAAGCAAAAAAUAUAUAUAAAUAAAUGCACAAGCCUUUGGGAAAGUUAGAAUAAUCUAAUUGGUCCUCUAUGCAUCAACUUAAACUGAAAGAAUGUGCUGUCAAUGAUUAGAAGCUUUACAUCACAGUUUAUAUGGCCUUACUAUUAAUGUCUCCAGUUAGUGUUGACUUAUGAAUAGGGCCAUCUAUUAAAGCCAAGUGAAGUGCGGGCUUACACAACACAACUGCUCUAUUCAUUAAGGUCUAUAAUUCUAUGAAAUGAAUUGCAAAGUGAAAUAAUUCAGCUCAUGGAAAUUUCACAGGAAGACUAUCUCAGAGUUUGGUUUAAUGGAUUGAAUGGCAAUCAACAGAUUUAAUUAAAUAUUUAAAUAGAUUUUAGUUAUAAUUUGCCUUUGCGGUUUUGAGGGUCAUUUUACUUUAAAGGUUCUGUCUUGGGAUUUGUUAAUGGGAGGAUCAUUUAGAUUUAAGGGAAUGUUAGUACACAGAUGUAGAAAAUGUCAUUUUUUUCAUUUCAUUCUUUGCAGUUGCAGGAAGCUGUAACACACACAACACACACAUACACAUAUACACGCCAGUGGUACUCAGUACCUCUUGUAUAUAGGUUAUUGCAAAUAUUAUUCUGAAAAUACUUAACUUCAGAAUUACAUUUUUAAAAGUAAAUAAUUGUUUAAAAUCUAUUUUGUAAAGAUAUAAAAGAAACAAUAGAAUUUCUGGAGUACAGAUUGAACUAUUUGCACUAACACACGUGAUGUGCAUGAUUUAAUAAAAUAACUUUACUCUCCCUA